UCGUGAUCCGCCCGCCUUGGCCUCCCAAAGUGCUUGGAUUACAGGCGUGAGCCACCGCACCCGGCCUGAAUAUCUGUUUUAAUUAAGGAAUAACCAUGUGAGAAAUAAUUUAGAGAUACUUCACAUAGAGAUAGUUCCAUUUCUAGGAAUCUAUUUAGAUAGAAAUUGUGUUACAUAUAUCUCAUAGGAAGAAAAUGUAUGUGUAAGCAAAUAAUUACAACAAAUGAGAUGUAAUUUUUAAAAUAAAAUAUUUGUAACUGAAGUAACACAGAUUAGAACUAUUUAACUAUAGGCAGCUUUCUAAUUAGGAAUGGUCUGAACUAGAAGUACUGUUAUUAAAGCUGGUAGCUAUAUCCAUAUCAUGCAAUAUUAGUAGUAUUAGGAAUACAUUGAAAACUCAGUUUUCCAGCUGAAGAUACAGACAGUGCACUGGAAUAUUAGAACCGGAAUUUUUCUAAGGGUCCAUUGAUAACAGUCCUACUCUUUCUUUCUCAUCUGGCCUAUAAUAAUGCUGCCUUCUAGAAUGUUGAUUAGUUUUUUUUUCUAAAAUGUCAGACAGUACACCGAGAGAUGUUAUAUAAUUGAACAUUAAGAGAAAUAUAAUCUUAUAUCUCUGUAUUUCAUAAAAUAGGGCUAUAAUUAUAAAAUGGAUAAAUAUGAACAAUGAAUUUAUUUUAAAAAUCAAAAGAUACAUUUAUGUAAACAAGGUGUUCCUUUUUUCUUGAAUUUGAAAUUAUCUUUGCUAAUAUUCUUCCAAAUAAUUAUCCCAUAUAAUUUUUACUAAUUGUUGAUUCAUUUUAUUUUUCUUAUUAGAGUUUAUUUGCAAUAUUGUUUGCUCCUUUAUUUUCUUCUUAAAUUAUACCAAUGUUAAUUUUUUGAAAAUUGAAGAUACAGUUUGCUAAGCCUUUAAAGAGCAUAUUUUAUUCCAAAAAUUUUAAAGCUUAAGUUUUGUUCCUGGCUAGGAAGCUCAAAGUUUAAUCAUUUAUAUGUAUUUUGUGUGGAACAAUUGAUCUUUAAUUAACUUUGGAAAAAUUAUGAGAAUUGCUUCUUAUUCAUAAAAAGAUUAAAUUUUUAGGUCAUUCUUAAUUAUAAGUGACAACAAAGUCCUGUCACAGAAUUUAUAUUAUCCUUUAAGAUGAUCUCUCUUUGAUGUUCGCAGCUCUAAAGAAGAUGGACAGAACAUUAAUCUUGUAUAAAACAGGGAAAAGCAUCAGCAGAUACAGCCGUUUUAAGAUUGGGGAAUCCUGGUGUGGUGGUGGGCGCCUGUAGUCCCAGCUACUUGGGAGGCUGAGGCAGGAGAAUGGCGUGAACCCGGGAGGGGAGCUUGCAGUGAGCUGAGAUCACACCACUGCACUCCAGCCUGGGCGACAAAGCGAGACUCUUGUCUCCAAAAACAAAAACAAAAAAAGACUGGGGAGUGCUGGAUAAGAAGCAGAGAUUAUUUAAGAGAAAAGGAAGGGGAGGCUGAACAACUUUCAAAUUCCGUUAUAUAUCAAAGGCUGUUAUUAUUUUACUCAACAUAUUUUAUGCAUUUUCAGAGAAAAAUAUACUUUUGAGAGUGACUUGCUAUUUGAAAUUGACCUAGUCAUAGACUCAUCUUAAUAUGGAAAAUUAAGAGGUGGUUGUGAUUACGUGUGCUUUCAUCAGUGAUUCUUUUGAGCAGCAUAUAAAUGGGGUUAGUACAGGAGCAGUUGAUUUGCAAACUAAACAAAAUUCUGUUCCCCCUAAAAAAACUUAAGAGAAACCCUUCAAAUAAAGAUAUUAAAAAGAUAAAAGAGAGCCAUGCUGCUUGAAUCAGGGUUUGAGGCCUCAGAGCCUCAUGCAGUCUGUGCUGGAGCCAGCAUGGACCCAGGUUACAAGAGCAGAUAAUGUACACCUCUUCUCAAUUAAGAACAUUAGAGUGGUAACUUGAAAUCAGCCAUCAUGGAACUAUCUACACCAUGGAAAUUGUCAAAUGCUACAAAUCAGGGAGAUUUUUUUUUUCCUCAUGCAAAGUGACCUCUGACCUUACCUCUCAUCAGGCUCUUCACCCACGUGACAACUUAAAAGGCACCUUAACAGGUGUAUAGAACUCAGAGCAUCACUGUGAGAAAACCAUUCAUGUCAGGCAGCAAUUGUUCUACAUAAAAUGUAGGAAUACUAAACCCUUUUUAGUAAAACAGAAUAAACCAAUGCUAAAUUAGAAAAUUCUGCUAACAGUCCCACUUUUCACUGUUUUUUAGCUCUCAAGAAUGACCAUUUGUUUCCUGUUCCAAAGCAGUGUAGAGUAAGCCAGGGUUAGCAACACACAUCUGCAACAGACUCCGUGAAAAAAGGGAGUAGUCAGGAUUUGAGAAAUAUUUCUAUAAUGUGGUUUCUUACAUCUGGUGUUGAGACCAGAGCAGCUCCUUUAAAUCAAAAAAUUGUCAGAUGAGUGAUCCUUAGAGAAUAAAAGAGGCAGGGUAGGAGUGACCUUUGGAACUCCUCCUGGAAAAGCGUACCUCCCUGAAGAUUCUGUCCCUCCACCCUUCAACCAGCAAAACACCAUGAAGUCAGCUCUCUGACUCAAGAGUGGCAGUGUCUGUCUCUUCGUUGCACUUCCAGGGUUUAAUAUCGUCUCAUGUAGCCGAACCACCUGCAGCCAAGUAAUCCAAAGUAUUCUCUCUUCUCUAAGGUUAAGAAUGUUGCUUCUGAAGUCCUCCCAAUGAAGGAUCAACUGUGAUUUUCCUACUUUAUUUCCCCCUACAGUAGUAUGGUUGCCCAGUCAACCCCAUAAAUAUAUGGCUGUGUUCUUAAAGAAAUGAGACUGGCAGAAAUCUCAUACCCUCGUUCUAAUGUUCCCUGUAGGUGCUUCUUUUAAAACACGGUUGGUAGCUCUGUUAGCAAACGACCCCACCAGCAAGCCCAAGUCAGUAGGAAGAAGCCUGCCAAUUGUGUCAUUAUAUUUUUCCAAUACUUGUGUCUGAAGAUAACAGUAAUUUUUUAUUCUUGUGUCCCCUACUGGGCACAUCAAAGUGCUUUUUGGAUAAAAUAUGCUCAAGUAAUGGAUACGUAUAUUAACAUAUAAGUAUAUUCUGAAAACUGACCUAAUGGACGUGAAGAUUAAGAGAACAUUUAGAAACUUCAGAAGGCAGCAGAUAUUUAUGAAUACCUGAGUAUAGGAAGCAAGUUUGGUAAGGACAAUUGCUGUUACUUUCCUAACAUGGCAUUCUUAUUGUUCCUAGCAUUUCAUAUCACACUUUAGUAAUCAGAGCACUUGAAAUGUCUUUACUCAAAAAAGGAGGGCUUAUCACUGCUUGAUAAACAAAUAGCUGGAAGAACUGAGGAAAAACAUUUAAAGGAGAAGUUUAACCAAAAUUACUUAAUGACUAUUUGCAGAGUAAAAUUAAUGUUCUAAAGAAUGAAACACCAGCCUAGUUAGUGGACAAAUAUUUUACGUUAGCACAUAGAUGUUAUGUUAUCUUGAAGUUUCAAUAAACAUGUUUUAUUAUUUUGCAAGGUGAGAGAAAAGUUAAUCACAUCUGAUUUAUUCUUGGCAGUAUGACACUGAGCAAACUCAGUGCAGACAGAGUCUACAAAGGGCAAUCAAUUUGUGUUUGUGUUACAUUAUUAGCACUCAUUGUCUGUCUUAUCAGCAGAGUUGAUGGCAUGAAUCAAUAGAAUAAUUAUUAUCAAAAAGAAUUGUUUGGUAAGUUUGAACAUAUACUAGGAGACACUUGUUUCUAGGUGAUAAAUUCAUGGGAGUAUUAAAAAAAGUCUUGUGGAGAAUAUUUUAAUGAAUGCAAAGUAACUUAUUUGAUUUGUUUAGAUUACCUAUUUAAUAACUAUGGUUUUGAGCAACCUUGACAUAAUUGUUAACCUGGAUUUCAUUUACCAUUAAGUAAAAGCCAGAGACUAGGCACUGGUCAUUUAAUAAGCUUGUCUCACAUCAAACUGUACUAACUGGAAAUUAUGUAAAUUGUUUAGUAAUAUAUGCUAACUUUGAUUUUUCCAGAACUCAGAAACGAGAAUGCUUGCAAAUACUUAAGGAGACAUUUCAGUUUAGCAAGCCAUCAUUAGCGGUGUUUUAUAAAGUUCUGGAACUAUUUAAAUUACCCAUGCAUUGCUCUUUCCAUGUUUUCAUGCAGUGAGCAAUGUAUUUCCCUUUUUCCACUUUGUGUGAAGAUUGAGGCUAGAAAACACCCAUAAUUCUAUAUUUUGCAGAAGUAUGGAACACGUUCAUCAGCUUAGAACAACCUCAAAUUAAAUUUUUUGUCCUCAUUUUGGUCUUUGUUGUGAGCAGUUUGUAAAUGUGUAUUUAAAUAUAAUACUUUUUAAAAAAUAAAAACAUAUGAACUCCA